rnacentral:rRNA from 1 species
UACGUAGGGUGCAAGCGUUAAUCGGAAUUACUGGGCGUAAAGCGUGCGCAGGCGGUUGUGCAAGACAGAUGUGAAAUCCCCAAGCUUAACUUGGGAACUGCAUUUGUGACUGUAUGGCUAGAGUAUGGUAGAGGGGGAUGGAAUUCCGCAUGUAGCAGUGAAAUGCGUAGAUAUGUGGAGGAACACCGAUGGCGAAGGCAAUCCCCUGGACCUGUACUGACGCUCAUGCACGAAAGCGUGGGGAGCAAACAGG